rnacentral:rRNA from 1 species
UACGUAGGGUGCAAGCGUUGCCCGGAUUCAUUGGGCGUAAAGCGCGCGCAGGCGGCCUUCCAAGUCCCGCGUGAAAUCGCCCGGCUCAACCGGGCGGGGUCGCGGGAGACUGGGGGGCUCGAGCGAGGGAGGGGGCAGUGGAAUUCCCGGUGUAGUGGUGGAAUGCGUAGAUACCGGGAGGAACACCAGUGGCGAAGGCGGCUGCCUGGACCUCUGCUGACGCUGAGGCGCGAAAGCGUGGGGAGCGAUCCGG